UUCCUUAUUUCUCUGGCGUUUGACUCUUCCUUAUUUCUCCGAGUUGGUUCCUUUUUUUGCUCGCCAAUCAGCUUCCAUCUCUUCCCCUGUCACGUUGGACUCACUCUCCUCUGUCGGUACUUCCUUUCUCUCUCUUCUCACUCAAUUAGUUAAAUGGUUUUUUGAGUAGCAUCUCUUCUGUCCCCAUUUCCUUUUUCUCAUUAUGUAGGCGGUUUUCAUAAAAACAGCAUCAAUUUUCUCUCAAGUACUCUCUUUCUGAUUCCUCCUUUGAAUUUAGUGUUGAGAGAUGUUUAAUUUAAUAUGAAAAUUUUUAUUUUUAUUUUCUGUGUACCUGUUGGUUGAAUCUGCUGAUUUUUUUUCUUCAAGGGAAGGGGGACUAUUUUCCUGAUUUGGGUUUCUUUGGGUAAUUAGUUUGAUUAUUUAGAACAAAUGAAAUGAUCUAGCUUUUUGUGCAAAAUGAAUCUAAUUUUAGAACCCUUUAAAAUCUUGAUUAAGAACCAUACUAAUUAACCCAUUCUAAGUGGAUGUCACAGUUAUUACAUCCAUGUGGUAACAUCUGCAUUGCCAUCUUAUUUUGAAAGUUAAACAUAUGAUACCAGUAUUUCAUCUAAUUUCUAAAAGGAUCAUAUUUUUAUUCUUUUAUCUAUUGCAAGAAGACACUAGGUAGAAAUUGGUCAACUUUGAUAAUAAAGUUCGCCAACUAGAAACUCAAUUUUGUGAAGCGCAAUAAGCUGCAACAAAUGCAAGAAACAUAAGCAUGUUUUUUGGUGCUUGCUUAUGUAGACAAGCACAUGCAAAUCAAUUCUGAAUCUGACAUUUAAUGUGCAAUUGUGUGUUUGAGCAUAAAGUAGAAGAACUUGAACAUGUAAUGAAAGUAUCGAAGAAAGAGCUUAAGGCUAAAAAGGUAUAAAUUUUUAUUAUUUUCUCUUUAUAUAAUCACAAUGUUAGAUUGUUUGAUAUGAACUACUUGUACAUUUCCUCUGAUAUACAAGAUUUAAACUAUUUUUUUGCAAUGACUCCUUAAAUAAGAUUUGUUAUAUUAUGCAAUUAAAGAUUCUUAUGCCUUUAACCAUUGUGUUGGUUGUACCAGCUUUCUUCGUUUCACCUUGAAGGCAAUAGGUGUAGCUAUUCUAGUGUGCAGUUUGAUUGUUCUUAUAUGUUUAAAUCAGGAUGAAGUAAGGCAUAGCUUCAAGCACACAGGAAGUAUGUUAAAGUUUUAUUGAAUGAACAUGGAUGAGAGUUUAGUAUCAGGCCAUGGUAUUAAUGUCUCUCAUCUUUAAUGCUG
rnacentral:lncRNA from 1 species